UACGUAGGUCGCAAGCGUUGUCCGGAUUUACUGGGCGUAAAGAGCGCGCAGGCGGCUGGUCAAGUCCGAUGUGAAAUCUCCCGGCUCAACUGGGAAACUGCAUCGGAAACUGAUCGGCUUGAAGAUGGGAGAGGGUAGUGGAAUUCCCGGUGUAGUGGUGAAAUGCGUAGAUAUCAGGAGGAACACCAAUUGCGAAGGCAGCUCGCUGGGACGUUACUGACGCUGAGACGCGAAAGCGUGGGGAGCAAACAGG
rnacentral:rRNA from 1 species